UACGUAGGGGGCAAGCGUUGUCCGGAUUUAUUGGGCGUAAAGAGCGUGUAGGCGGUCCGGUAAGUCAGCUGUGAAAGUCAAGGGCUCAACCCUUGAAUGCCGGUUGAUACUGUCGGGCUAGAGUCCGGAAGAGGCGAGUGGAAUUCCUGGUGUAGCGGUGAAAUGCGCAGAUAUCAGGAGGAACACCAAUGGCGAGGGCAGCUCGCUGGGACGUGACUGACGCUGAGACGCGAAAGCGUGGGGAGCAAACAGG
rnacentral:rRNA from 1 species